GACGAACGCUGACGGCGUGCUUAACACAUGCAAGUCGAAGGGAGUGGCGAACGGGUGAGUAACACGUGAGUAACCUGCCCUUUUCUUUGGGAUAAGCCUGGGAAACGGGGUCUAAUACUGGAUGGAUUGGGAUGGGCUCGCGGCGUAGCAGCUGGGUGGUGGGGUGAUGGCUUACCAAGGCUUUGACGGGUAGCCGGCCUGAGAGGGUGGUCGGUCACGUUGAGAGUGAGAUUCGGCCGAGAAUCCUACGGGGGGCAGCAGGGGGGGAUAUUGCACAAUGGACGAAAGUCUGAUGCAGCGACGUCGUGUGGGGGAUGAAGGCCUUCGGGUUGUAAACGCCUUUCGCCCGCGGAAUGGUAGUGGGUAAAGAAGCGCCGGCUAACUACGUGCCAGCAGCCGCGGUAAUUC
rnacentral:rRNA from 1 species